rnacentral:rRNA from 1 species
UUUGAACGCUGGCGGCAGGCCUAACACAUGCAAGUCGAACGGUAACAGGAAGCAGCUUGCUGCUUUGCUGACGAGUGGCGGACGGGUGAGUAAUGUCUGGGAAACUGCCNGAUGGAGGGGGAUAACUACUGGAAACGGUAGCUAAUACCGCAUAACGUCGCAAGACCAAAGAGGGGGACCUUAGGGCCUCUUGCCAUCGGAUGUGCCCAGAUGGGAUUAGCUAGUAGGUGGGGUAACGGCUCACCUAGGCGACGAUCCCUAGCUGGUCUGAGAGGAUGACCAGCCACACUGGAACUGAGACACGGUCCAGACUCCUACGGGAGGCAGCAGUGGGGAAUAUUGCACAAUGGGCGCAAGCCUGAUGCAGCCAUGCCGCGUGUAUGAAGAAGGCCUUCGGGUUGUAAAGUACUUUCAGCGGGGAGGAAGGGAGUAAAGUUAAUACCUUUGCUCAUUGACGUUACCCGCAGAAGAAGCACCGGCUAACUCCGUGCCAGCAGCCGCGGUAAUACGGAGGGUGCAAGCGUAAAUCGGAAUUACUGGGCGUAAAGCGCACGCAGGCGGUUUGUUAAGUCAGAUGUGAAAUCCCCGGGCUCAACCUGGGAACUGCAUCUGAUACUGGCAAGCUUGAGUCUCGUAGAGGGGGGNAGAAUUCCAGGUGUAGCGGUGAAAUGCGUAGAGAUCUGGAGGAAUACCGGUGGCGAAGGCGGCCCCCUGGACGAAGACUGACGCUCAGGUGCGAAAGCGUGGGGAGCAAACAGGAUUAGAUACCCUGGUAGUCCACGCCGUAAACGAUGUCGACUUGGAGGUUGUGCCCUUGAGGCGUGGCUUCCGGAGCUAACGCGUUAAGUCGACCGCCUGGGGAGUACGGCCGCAAGGUUAAAACUCAAAUGAAUUGACGGGGGCCCGCACAAGCGGUGGAGCAUGUGGUUUAAUUCGAUGCAACGCGAAGAACCUUACCUGGUCUUGACAUCCACGGAAGUUUUCAGAGAUGAGAAUGUGCCUUCGGGAACCGUGAGACAGGUGCUGCAUGGCUGUCGUCAGCUCGUGUUGUGAAAUGUUGGGUUAAGUCCCGCAACGAGCGCAACCCUU